ACCCCGUUGAGCUCCCCGAUCUUAAGUUUAUUGGUCCUGAUUAUUCUUGAGACCUUCUCUCAAGAGACAUUUCCUCCAUGCGGCGUGAUUUUCUUGACAAUAAGCCUUGAUCUUAUCAAUAUCUAACUACAACUCUUGAUCCUUCUAGUAAAGAUUACUACAAGGAUAAUUAGCAUUUAUAGUUAUAUAUAACAUAAUUCUGAAAAAAUUAAAGACCUGUUAAGUGAUUGUAAAUCUUUAAUUCAGCCAAGGAUUUUUUUCCUUUUUGUAUAACGGGUGGAAGACCGUUUUUUUGUAAUUUCAAAAUCUCGUUGUAUAGAGAAAUAUUUUCCUAUAAGUUACCUCGAACAAAAAAAACUGGUGUCGGAGCUUUUUAUGUAUAUAUCUUACGUAUUUUUCUGCUGAUAGGUAGAUUAAAAUUUUCUUUCUCAAAUCCUAGUCUUUUUCAGACUAUUUCCUUUUCAAAAAUCUUCUAAGCUCCUUUCAUUAUUUUCACACAAAAAAAUUGAUAUAUUCUCACUCAGUCAUUAUUCUUCGCCUGUUUAUCAAAAACAUUUCUUUUUCCUUAAAAGUAAAUCCUGCCCAUAAAGGAUUAUAAAGUAGCAUAAUUAAUAGCCACCUAAUUAGUGGAUCGUUUGAAUGGAUACACGAUAUAUACUUAUGAUUAUAUCAACAGAAGUUUAUUCAAAGUGAAAAUACCUUGACAAAAUUAAAAGACAAAAAGACCCUAAAAACUGUUUUUUUUGUUGGGGCAACAUAAAUUUUAACUGUUUUUCUUCCACUAUAGUAAUAAGCUACUUUAGGGAUAACAGCAUAAUAUUCUUUAUUUAUAUUAAAGAAGAGUAUGACCUCGAUGUUGAACUAAAAGACUACUCUUAUAAAUGAGAGAGCUUUAAGACUGUUCGUCUUUUUUCUUUUACGUGAUUUGAGUUCAAACCGGCGGGAGCCAGGUUGGUUUUAAUCUUUUAAAAGAUAAUUUUUUUUUAGUACGAAAGGAAAAAAAAGAAAUUGACCUCUCAAGUUAUAAUUAAUAUUUUCUUGUCGAGAAAAAGGAACUUCUAAUUCUGCCAACAAUAGUUUAUUAAAAAUAUUUUUUUUGUAAAAAAAAG
rnacentral:rRNA from 1 species